UACGUAGGGGGCUAGCGUUGUCCGGAAUCAUUGGGUGUAAAGCGCACGAAGGCGGAUGUUUAAGUCGGGGGUGAAAUCCCAGGGCUCAACCCUGGAACUGCCUUCGAUACGGGCAAACUAGAGUUCGGUAGGGGAGACUGGAAUUCCUGGUGUAGCGGUGAAAUGCGCAGAUAUCAGGAGGAACACCGGUGGCGAAGGCGGGUCUCUGGGCAGUAACUGACGCUGAGGAGCGAAAGCGUGGGGAGCGAACAGG
rnacentral:rRNA from 1 species